AGAACGAACGCUGGCGGCAUGCCUAACACAUGCAAGUCGAACGAGACCUUCGGGUCUAGUGGCGCACGGGUGCGUAACGCGUGGGAAUCUGCCCAAAGGUUCGGAAUAACUCAGGGAAACUUGAGCUAAUACCGGAUGAUGUCGCAAGACCAAAGAUUUAUUGCCUUUGGAUGAGCCCGCGUAGGAUUAGCUUGUUGGUGAGGUAAAGGCUCACCAAGGCUACGAUCCUUAGCUGGUCUGAGAGGAUGAUCAGCCACACUGGGACUGAGACACGGCCCAGACUCCUACGGGAGGCAGCAGUGGGGAAUAUUGGACAAUGGGCGAAAGCCUGAUCCAGCAAUGCCGCGUGAGUGAUGAAGGCCCUAGGGUUGUAAAGCUCUUUUACCCGGGAAGAUAAUGACUGUACCGGGAGAAUAAGCCCGGCUAACUCCGCGCCAGCAGCCGC
rnacentral:rRNA from 1 species